AAAAAACAAAGGAAUUAAAAUUCCUCAUUGCACACCAGCUCUCUCUCCCUCUCUCAGCGGCAUCACGAGAUAUCACCUCCCUCUUUCUCUGCUCUUUGAUUCUAGGUUCGUCUGCACCUCAUUGAUCCAUGCCAUCACCUCUUCCUUUUCCACACUUCUUUCUCUUCAAUCCUUUUCUUUGUUUUUUUCUUAAUUGUUUAUUGUGCCAUUUUUUUUAUUUUGAUCAAGGAGUUUUCAAUUUUUGGGGUUCAUGCAAUUGAACGUCAUCGAGCUGGUUUUUUUUUAUGAUUGGGGUUUUUGGUUUGUGUUCUGUUCUUAAUAAAUUUUGGGGAGGGCAGUGUUUUAUAAGGUUAAUUAAUAUCGGUUCAGAGGAAGCAGUUGGGUUUGUUUUUUUGGGUUCUCAAUUGGAUCACUGUUGUUCGUAAGCACGCAGAAGUGGUUGUAGAUGAUGAUGUUAUCUUUUUUGUCUUUAAGAAAUAUUGUAAAAUAUGUAAUCGAUCACAAGUUAGUUUAACUACAAUUUCAGACUCUGAUACUCUACUCUACUCCUGUAUUGGUUUUAUUUACUAAAGUUGGUUGGUAUUAUAUUUAUAUGAAAGCUGUCAUACAAUUCAAAAUUGAAUUAGAAUACAAUACUGUACUAAAUACCUGUAAGUCUGUAAUGUGUUAAUAAUAAAUAAAAAGCUAUCUAAUAUUCUUCUAACUUGACAGAGACGUCCACCAAUUGAUACAGGCAAGGGAAAGCUGAAUCUGGUAAGUUUUCUAAUUUUAGUUUUCUAUUUUUAUGUUGUUACUGUUAUCCUAAUCUGUUAUACAUAAUAGUGACACACGUUCUUUGCUUUUGAGUGAAAAUUAUUAAUUCAAGGCAGGCUAGGUACUUGGAAGUUGUGUUAAUUGUGCUUAUAGUUCCAAAUAAUUGUAACCGUCUAAUGGAAUCUUGGUAAACAUGCUCAAGCAAUAGUGGGUUUAAUACUGAUGUAACAUUCGAAAAAGACUUUGAAUUGAGAGCUCAAAAUCAUAUAUAUUUGGGAAAACAGUGUUCUUGGGGCAUGUUUUCUGACUGAGUAAUAAUAAACAUUUAGUCCGAGUCUUAUCAAUUUUCUAUCUCAAUCAUUAAGUGCUAUAAAAGUAGAAUAGUUCUGAUUCUGAAAACUGGACAAGCUGGUCUGAACUGGAAAAGUGGAUCAAUGGCCAGACAGUCAUGCUUCCAGAUUAACUAAGAACCACAAUACUUAAAACUGGCUUUGAAAGCAGUAAACUGGGGAGACUUCCCUUUAUUGGUUCAAUGACUGGUAUGGUCUUCAAAACCUUGAUAUGGAGUGAGGAAAUGUCUGUAAUUCACUAGUUAGUGAAAUUCUUCUGAUUAAUUGUAUUUCAAAACACAUCAGGAAAUUUGAUUUUUAGGAUUAGGAGUUUGUAGGUUCUGUUUACCCAAUGGCAUCUGAUUUUUUUCAAGUAAUAGUCGUUAAAGAUCUAGAUGUGAGAUUUGACGAGUGAUUAUUUAAUUGUUGUUGGAAAUUGCUAUUUAAAAUUUCUCCCUUUGCUCCCCUCUAUUAUUCUGCCUUUUAUUUAAAUCUGAUUUGCAAAGUAUGUUCUGGUAGUUACUGUUCAAUCCCAUAGAACAACUGUUGAAUGUGUCUUUUUUCUUUUUUGUUAUCUUCAACAAUAUAAUUUUAUGAAGUAUGCUGAGACCCUAAUGUUGUUUACAGUGAUAAUAUUGUGAUGCUACUCAGUACUCAUUUCAUAAUAUAGCUUUCUUUUCUUUUCUUUUUCAAUACUGAUAAUUGCUUGCUAUGGUUUUGGUGCAAGUGCAGAAACUUCAGAAGCAGCACAAUUGUAUUCCAGAUGAACACUAUGUGCAGACAUUGCUUGCAAUAAGAUACUGAGACAUUUAUUCCAUCAUCAUUAUCUAUGUUUUUUUCUUUUGGGGGGGGGGGGGGGGGGGGGGGGGGGUGUUCUUCAAUCCUAUUUAUUCUUGCUUCUGCUUUAUUCACAAAUUACCUUGAUAAAAUGUUGUCAUUGAUGAGCAGUAACUUUUUAAGGGUUAAUUUGCA
rnacentral:lncRNA from 1 species